rnacentral:lncRNA from 10 species
CAAAGUGCUGGGAUUACAGGCAUGAGCCACUGCUCCCAGCCUGGCUGAGAAGCAAUUCUAAGCCACCACACAGAGUUGCAAAACCAUAAAACAAUUAGCAAUAACUCUGCCAUCAAACAGUUAAUUACCAGGGAGUGUAAAUAUGUGCUCAAGGCUCCAACUUACAGACUAAUAGGAGUUUUGAAGCUUGCCGUUUUUUGAAGGCUUAUACAAAAUAGUUUCCUGCAAACUCAAGUGGCUGGGAAGCCCAGCUGAAGGUUACUUCUACCCCAAGGCCAUGUCAGCAGAAAGUGGCCAACAGGACUUGGGCCUGAAAAAGCUCAGACUGAAUUUUAGGAGUGACAUCUGAAACUGCUGGUUUCUCACAAGGAAUAAAAGCUGUCUGGGAAGCUGGAGAGGCAGUGUGCUGUCUGGAGCAGGGACUUGCAAAUGGGAACAGUGAAGAGAGACAGCAUCUCCUUCCUCUGAAGAUUCUGUUCAGAAUGGAUAAAGGUUCAGCAUCCUCCCUGGAUGGGGCAGCUUAGCAGGCAAGAAAGAAGUCAACUGAGUUUCUUCUAGAGAAAUUAUAGAAAGAAAGAAAAAGAAAGAAAGAAAGAAAGAAAGAAAGAAAGAAAGAAAGAAAGAAAGAAAGAGGAAGGAAGGAAAGAAAGAAAGAAGAAAGAAAAAGAAAGAAAGAAAGAAAGAAAGAAAGAAAGAAAGAAAGAAAGAAAGAAAGAAAGAAAGAAAGAAAGAAAGAAAGGGAAAGAAAGAAAAGUUGACUGAGACAUGGCCCAUUCCCUCCCUGGGACCAGCCUCUUCUUUCCAGCUCAAGGGUCAAGACAGUGUCCCCAGGAAGAAGCAAAGGCUGUGUUUUCCACACUCUUAUCUAGAGGUGAGCUGGCAGAAGCUCCUCCCAGACUGCAUCUAUCAGACAGGGAGACAAUAACUGCUUGGGUGAGGAACAAAGGGAGGAGACACCAACUGUCCCCACUAAUGACAGAAGAUGUGGCAGCCUGAAGCCCUAAUAUUGGCUGUGGCCCUUUAAGAUCCCUCCCCACUUAACUGUAACACCCCCCUUCUCCAGGAAACUGGCAAGGACCCUUGGCACUGUUGGCCAGCGCUCUUGGAGACAGCCAGGACGGGGUUGGCAGGACUGCCUACACUGCUUUGAAAAUAUUUAACAAUAGAUUAAGACAACUGAGGUUAAGGGCCUGACUCCAGAUCACACAGCAAGGGAGAUGGCAAAAUCAAGAUUUCAACCCAGGAAACCUGCCUCCCAUGCCUAUGUUAAUCACUACACCCUUCCCACAAUAAAUAAUCAAAUAAGCUAUUA